rnacentral:rRNA from 1 species
GACAGAGGGGGCAAGCGUUGCUCGGAAUUACUGGGCGUAAAGGGCGCGUAGGCGGGAUGGCAAGUCGGUCGUGAAAUCCCUCGGCUCAACUGAGGAUCGUCGAUCGAUACUGCCGUUCUUGAGGAUUGCAGAGGAGACUGGAAUUCCCGGUGUAGCGGUGAAAUGCGCAGAUAUCAGGAGGAACACCGGUGGCGAAGGCGGGUCUCUGGGCCGAUAUUGACGCUGAGGAGCGAAAGCGUGGGGAGCGAACAGG